GACGAACGCUGGCGGCGUGCUUAACACAUGCAAGUCGAACGGAAAGGCCCUGCUUUUGUGGGGUGCUCGAGUGGCGAAAGGGUGAGUAACACGUGAGUAACCUGCCCUUGACUUUGGGAUAACUUCAGGAAACUGGGGCUAAUACCGGAUAGGAGCUCCUGCUGCAUGGUGGGGGUUGGAAAGUUUCGGCGGUUGGGGAUGGACUCGCGGCUUAUCAGCUUGUUGGUGGGGUAGUGGCUUACCAAGGCUUUGACGGGUAGCCGGCCUGAGAGGGUGACCGGCCACAUUGGGACUGAGAUACGGCCCAGACUCCUACGGGAGGCAGGAGUGGGGAAUAUUGCACAAUGGGCGGAAGCCGGAUGCAGCAACGUCGCGUGCGGGAUGACGGCCGUCGGGUUGUAAACCGCUUUCGCCUGUGACGAAGCGUGAGUGACGGUAAUGGGUAAAGAAGCACCGGCUAACUACGUG
rnacentral:rRNA from 1 species